GACGAAAGCGGCCGUCUUGUCCCAGUGCUGCUGGCAGCGGAGUGCCACACUGGGUACUCGGAAGUGCCGGAAGAUGCUGCUGUCUUGGUCCACGAAGCAGAGACCAGGUAGGGACAGGGAUUUUUCAUCCACCUGCUGCUGGCUGCUCCUGAGCUCCUGCCGCCGCUGGCUGGCGAUCUACAGGAACCCAAGCAGGGCAGAGAGGCUGCCCACCCACCCACUUUUGGAGAGGCCUGGCUUGGCAGUGGGAGACCCACCUCAAUACGUGUGGACCCCAGAAAGCAGCUUGGAGCUCCUACCAGUUGAUCGGGACAGCAGGGAACUGGGGGUCAGGUACUGGCGUCGGUGGCGCCUGGCUGUGCUGCUCCGGCAGUGCCGGGAGGACAGGCAAGCACGCUGCCUGGCCAGGGCCUGGCUGCAGUGGAAGGAUGUCAGCAGGGCAGCAUUGCUGGGGCGAGUGCUGGCCUGGCAGCGGCUGGUGGAGCAGGGCUGGAAGACAUGGCGGAGACGCUACCUGCAGCACUGCGUGUCCCAGCACUUCCUGGAAGACGAAGCCCGGAGCCUGCUGUCCUGGGUGAGAGCACCCUAUUGCCUCGCUAAGGGGGG
rnacentral:lncRNA from 1 species